GGAAUGCGUAGAUAUAUGGAAGACACCAGUGGCGAAGGCGGCUCUCUGGUCUGUAACUGACGCUGAGGCUCGAAAGCGUGGGGAGCAAACAGGAUUAGAUACCCUGGUAGUCCAUGCCGUAAACGAUGAGUGCUAAGUGUUGGGGGGUUUCCGCCCUUCAGUGCUGGGCUAACGCAUUAAGCACUCCGCCUGGGGAGUACGACCGCAAGGUUGAAACUCAAAGGAAUUGACGGGGGCCCGCACAAGAGGUGGAGCAUGUGGUUUAAUUCGAAGCAACAAGAAGAACCUUACCAGGUCUUGACAUCAAUGGGAAAGAGAAGAAAAAAGGGUUUCCCUUCGGGGACGUGGUGACAGGGGGUGCAUGGCUGUCGUCGGGAGAUGGCGGGAGAGGUUGGGUUAAGACCGCAAACGAUGGCAACCCUUGUUGUUAGUUGCCAGGGUACUCUUGGGAAAUUGAGGGAGACUGAGGGGAAGAAGGCGGGGAAGGGGGGGGAUGACGUGCCCCUUAUGACCUGUUAUAACCCUGGCUA
rnacentral:rRNA from 1 species